rnacentral:rRNA from 1 species
UACGAAGGGUGCAAGCGUUACUCGGAAUUACUGGGCGUAAAGCGUGCGUAGGUGGUUUGUUAAGUCUGUUGUGAAAGCCCCGGGCUCAACCUGGGAAUGGCAAUGGAUACUGGCAAGCUAGAGUGCGGUAGAGGGUAGUGGAAUUCCCGGUGUAGCGGUGAAAUGCGUAGAGAUCGGGAGGAACACCAGUGGCGAAGGCGGCUACCUGGACCAGCACUGACACUGAGGCACGAAGGCUAGGGGAGCAAACGGG